rnacentral:rRNA from 1 species
CAUCCGGUUGAACAUUCCGGGUGAUUGAUGGUAGUCGGAGAGGAAGGGGCGGCUAACUCUGUGCCAGCAGCCGCGGUGAUACAGAGGCCCCGAGCGUUGUUCGGAUUUACUGGGCGUAAAGGGUGUGUAGGGGGUCGGGUAAGUUUGACGUGAAAGCCCGCUGCUUAACAGCGGAACGGCGUCGAAUACUGCCCGGCUGGAGGUUCGGAGAUGAGAGCGGAAUUCUCGGUGUAGCGGUGAAAUGCGUAGAUAUCGAGAGGAACGCCGACGGCGAAAGCAGCUCUCAAGACGACACCUGACCCUGAGACACGAAGGCCAGGGGAGCAAACGGGAUUAGAUACCCCGGUAGUCCUGGCAGUAAACGGUGCUCAUUAGACGUGGGCGGAUUCGACCCCGCCCGUGUCGAACCUAACGGAUUAAAUGAGCCGCCUGGGAAGUACGGUCGCAAGAUUAAAACUCAAAGAAAUUGACGGGGGCCCGCACAAGCGGUGGAGUAUGUGGCUUAAUUCGAUGCAACGCGAAGAACCUUACCUGGCCUUGACAUGCUGAGUUCAGGCGUGGAAACACGCUGGCCCGCAAGGGCGAUCUGCACAGGUGCUGCAUGGCUGUCGUCAGCUCGUGUCGUGAGAUGUUGGGUUAAGUCCCGCAACGAGCGCAACCCUCGUGACUAGUUAAUCCCGGGCAACCGGAUUCUGGUCAGACUGCCCUGUGAAACGGGGAGGAAGGUGGGGACGACGUCAAGUCCGUAUGGCCCUUACGGCCAGGGCUGCACACGUACUACAAUGCUCACUACAGAGGGACGCAAGACCGCAAGGUGGAGCCAAUCCCUAAAAGGUGAGCCCAGUUCGGAUUGGAGGCUGCAACUCGCCUCCAUGAAGCCGGAAUCGCUAGUAAUGGCGCAUCAGCUACGGCGCCGUGAAUACGUUCCCGGGCCUUGUACACACCGCCCGUCACAUCAUGAAAGCCGGUCUUACCCAAAGUCGUCUUUGACGCCCAAGGUAAGGCUGGUGAUUGGGAUGAAGUCGUAACAAGGUAGCCGUAGGGGAACCUGCGGCUG